UAAUUUGAAUUGACUGUGUUUGUGUCACAGAUUCAUCCCUGAACCAAGCUUUAUGCCCUGCAGGAUGUGUAUUCUAAUGGGCCAUCCAGAAUUAUAUGCCCAUGGUACAUUUUCUUCUGCUUUUUGAAGAAAGUGUUAGCCUUAGGCCUGGAGAACAUAACUGCCCUGCCCAGGAGAUGGUCAAGCCUGAUGAGCGGAAGCAGGCUUGUGGCAGGCUGGAGACCCCCAGUAGUUCAGAUCUGUGGGUAGCGUCUCUGAAACACAGAGGAAUAUGCUUUCAAAACAAUUUCUUCAGCCUGGAAACCAGGAAACGAAAUGCCACUCUAAGGCAUCUCUCUGGCCUGAGGCAUGGGAGCUGAAAGGAGACUUCCAACAGUUUAAAGAAGUAGCCCACUGCCCUUCUGCCCAAUUACUGAAAAGUUUUCUUCUGACUCAAAGGAGGGCAUUGAUGGGGAUAAGCUAAGAUCCCCAUAGCACGUCCAGGCAUAUGUUUACAUGCCCAGAAGCAGCACUCAGGCCUUCUCCAUCCACAACAAUGCCCAAAGCUUGCUCCCCUCUGCUUCAUCCUAGGGUUGGCCUGCCCUCUCAUGUACUGGCCAUGGAGAGUGCUGGCCUGCUUUACUGCUUUAGAAAUCCAAAGAAUUGUUCCACUGGGUCCUAGUCCAUGAAUAGUUCAGUUUAUCAGGCUAAUCUCAGAAGAUAAAUAAACAAAUUCAAAGAUAAUUUUGUACUUGAAGU
rnacentral:lncRNA from 13 species